rnacentral:rRNA from 1 species
AUUGAACGCUGGCGGCAGGCCUAACACAUGCAAGUCGAGCGGAUGAAGGGAGCUUGCUCCUGGAUUCAGCGGCGGACGGGUGAGUAAUGCCUAGGAAUCUGCCUGGUAGUGGGGGAUAACGUCCGGAAACGGGCGCUAAUACCGCAUACGUCCUGAGGGAGAAAGUGGGGGAUCUUCGGACCUCACGCUAUCAGAUGAGCCUAGGUCGGAUUAGCUAGUUGGUGGGGUAAAGGCCUACCAAGGCGACGAUCCGUAACUGGUCUGAGAGGAUGAUCAGUCACACUGGAACUGAGACACGGUCCAGACUCCUACGGGGGGCAGCAGUGGGGAAUAUUGGACAAUGGGCGAAAGCCUGAUCCAGCCAUGCCGCGUGUGUGAAGAAGGUCUUCGGAUUGUAAAGCACUUUAAGUUGGGAGGAAGGGCAGUAAGUUAAUACCUUGCUGUUUUGACGUUACCAAAAGAAUAAGCACCGGCUAACUUCGUG